rnacentral:rRNA from 1 species
UACGUAGGGGGCAAGCGUUGUCCGGAUUCAUUGGGCGUAAAGAGCUCGUAGGCGGUCUGUCGCGUCCGUUGUGAAAACUCGAGGCUCAACCUCGGGCUUGCAGUGGAUACGGGCAGACUAGAGUGCGGUAGGGGAGACUGGAAUUCCUGGUGUAGCGGUGGAAUGCGCAGAUAUCAGGAGGAACACCGAUGGCGAAGGCAGGUCUCUGGGCCGCAACUGACACUGAGGGACGAAAGCUAGGGGAGCGAAUGGG